rnacentral:lncRNA from 1 species
CUCACCAAGGAGAAGCAAGAAAAAGGAAGAACAAAACCCUAGGUGGAGAAAUUCAAGAGAAAUUCACCAAAUUUCAAGGAAUCAAGCCAUCAAAGGUGAAAUUUCUUAACUCUAGCUUGUGAUCUAUCUUUCCUAUGCAUUCUUUUGCAUUUUUCAUGGUUGAAUCACAAGAUAUCAUGAAGGAUUCCUAGCUAACCAAAUUUAGAAAGAGAAGAUUUGAUGAUUUAUUUGGUUAGAUUUUGAGAUAUUUUAGUGUUUUUAGUUAGUUAAUGAUGUGUAGCAUGAAAAGCCAACAAGAAAAAUUCACUUCCUCCCAUCACCCAUCAUUGGCCGAAUCUUCCAUGUAGAGUGUGGAUGGUGGAUUUGAUUUUAUUUCAAGUGAAUUGGUUAGGAAAUGAUGAAUUACAGUGAGAAAAUCAAGUAGGAAAAAUCAUAGUAUUGAUGCACCCACCAUGGCCGAAAUUCCCAAGAGAAAAUGUGAAGAUGAUUUUGCUAAAUUUAUGAUAUUUGACUUGUGUUUGAUGGUUUGGAGAAUUGAAAGAAAAAUGGAAUUGUUUGGAGUUGAAUUGGACAUAUUGGCCAAUUAAUCGGGUGACAAAUCGAAUUAGGCCAAUACAAUUUUAUUUAGGUGCACAAUUGAUCUUGUUUUGAACGCCAUAUUUAGAUGGUUACCUGAGCAUUUCACAUCCCAUUUCAUGCAUUAGUAUAAAGCCUGAAUUGGUUUUAUAACAAUUUAGCACAAAUGUAGUAAAUGGCUUAUUGUGCAUUAUGUCUAGGUGGUGAGCAUUUUGGCAAAAGUAAAGAGAUAGUACCCAAGGAUUAAGAAUCGGAGUACUCGAAAUUCGAUUCCUAUUACAGUGAGUAACCUUAUCAUCAUCUUGAUUAUCUGAAGUGAAUUUUAAUUCGUUUUUGUGAUUUUAUGGAAAAUGAGUUUAAAUGGUAAAUCUUUAUGUUUUAUAAGCAAAAUGUGAUUAAAUGAAAUGAUUUUAUAAAAUUGUCUUGAAAUUGAAAGAUGGUUUUGAAAAUGGAAUAAUUGGAGACUAAUUGUUGCAUUAUAAAUCAUGGUUUGAAUUGAAUGGCUUAUGAUAAUAUUGGCAUGAAUGGUUGAAUUGGUAAAUGUGCUGAAAAUGUAUGAAUUGUUGAUUUGCCUUGAGAGGCUGUAAAAUAAAAUAAUUGCCAUGUCAUGCUAUCGCAAAUUUUAUUUUAUGGUGGGUUUAGUUUGCUGAAGUGGGCGGGUUCUGUGGACUAACCUUUUUGAGAGACACGAAAUCCCGUUAUAUUCUUACCUCGAUUGGGGAGGCACAUAGGGUAACUCCCAGUGUAAAACUUUAAAGUUCACUUCACGCCAAACCACCACGUGAGGGUGAACUCAGCCAACGCCAAGGAACGGCUAUGUUUUCAAAAUAAAAACAUGAUUUAUGCGUACAUGACUUUUUAACAGCCUUGGCGGACUUGGUUGGGAUGGUCCCAGGCCAAGGUAUCCUUGAUAACUGAGUAUAAGAAUGAUUUUGGCACGAGCCAAGCUUGUCAAGAAAUCAUAAGCCUUGUUGUUUAUUUGGGUAAAAUGAAUUUAUUUUAUCUAAUUAAAAUGAGUUCGAAAUGCUGUGAAUCAUUUUUAUGCUAAUCUAUUUUAUCUAUCUCCAUUUACUCAGCUUUAGAUAUUUUAGAUGGUAUUUGUUUACUCACUGAGAUUAUAUAAUCUCACCACCCUCAUUUCCACCCAUUUCAGGCUCAAGAUAGUCGGUAGAUAGCUCAUUUCGUUGAGGGCUACAGUUGGACUUGCAUCCUCAAAAACUGUAGGUUCACAGCCUUCAUUACUUUUAGUCAUUCGGGGGCCCACAUGUCAUUGUUAAAUGUUUUGCUUUUAUGCUGUAAAAAUUAUUUACGUAGCGUUCUAUAAAAAUUGUUUUAUGAAAAAUUGGAAUAUUUUAUUCAUUAUUUUUAUUUUAUUCCAUUAGCUAUAAUUU